GGAUUUUUCUCCACUUCCACUAUUCCAAGGAGAAAAGCCUGAACAAGAGUGUCGUGCGAUGGCCUCAUAGAGAGGCCUAGAGUUCUUGCCAACUAUUGAGGAAACGAAGGCUGCAGAUGGUGGUGUCAUGGCGCCCUGGUGACUUCCUCCCACAAUGGGGAGGUGUGAAAGACCAAGCUUGGGGAUCCUGAAUUUUGCAGCUAAGCAAGGGUAUGUGGGCAUGUGUCCAUGUGUAGAGGAACGUGAUAGCUAAAUUUAUGGUACUCCUGUGGAGUGUCUCUGUGUGUUUGUGUGUGUGUGACAACUGUGAGCAUUAGACUAGUACACGGCAGACAUGAUCUUCCCGUGGGGUGGAGCUUUCCUCAUACCUUGUAUGCCCUGCUUCCCACAAGAGGCACAGAGCUCUCCACUCUGAUGCCUACUUUCAGGCACUCUGGUCGUGCCAACCCAGAUUUUGGUCUGUGAUGAAACAAAGAGAAAUGUUUACAACAUCUAGAGCAAUAUCCAAGCAUACCUCAUCCCUGAGCUUCCAUGUUUCCCAGUCCUGCCCUCUCUCCCAUUGCCUCUUCCG
rnacentral:lncRNA from 10 species